GCGGUGGUGGCAUAGUGGCUAAAGUGUUUGGCUGCUAACCGAAAGGUCAGUGGUUCAAAGUCACCAGCCGCU
rnacentral:tRNA from 1 species